UACACACCGCCCGUCAAGCCAUGGAAGUUGGUUCUACCUUAAGCUGCUGUGUUAACCGCAAGGAGACAGGCAACCACGGUAGGGUCAAUGACUGGGGCU
rnacentral:rRNA from 1 species